UGGGGAAUUUUGCACAAUGGGGGAAACCCUGAUGCAGCGACGCCGCGUGAUUUAGAAGGCCUUCGGGUUGUAAAAAUCUUUUCUAUGGGAAGAAAAUGACAGUACCAUAGGAAUAAGGACCGGCUAAUUACGUGCCAGCAGCCGCGGUAAUACGUAAGGUCCGAGCGUUGUCCGGAAUCAUUGGGCGUAAAGGGUACGUAGGCGGGUAAGCAAGUUAGAAGUGAAAUCCUAUAGCUCAACUAUAGUAAGCUUUUAAAACUGCUCAUCUUGAGGUAUGGAAGGGAAAGUGGAAUUCCUAGUGUAGCGGUGAAAUGCGCAGAUAUUAGGAGAAAUACCGGUGGCGAAGGCGACUUUCUGGCCAUAACCUGACGCUGAGGUACGAAAGCGUGGGUAGCAAACAGG
rnacentral:rRNA from 2 species